GAUCCUGGCUCAGGAUGAACGCUGGCGGCGUGCCUAACACAUGCAAGUCGAGCGGAGAUAUAUCGGAGAUUCUUCGGAUGAUCUUUAUAUCUUAGCGGCGGAUGGGUGAGUAACACGUGGGUAACCUGCCCUGCACUGGGGAAUAACAGUUGGAAACGACUGUUAAUACCGCAUAUGCGCACGAGGUCGCAUGACCUUGGGCGGAAAGAUUUAUCGGUGCAGGAUGGGCCCGCGUCGGAUUAACUAGUUGGUGAGGUAAUGGCCCACCAAGGUGAUGAUCCAUAGCCGACCUGAGAGGGUGACCGGCCACAUUGGGACUGAGACACGGCCCAAACUCCUACGGGAGGCAGCAGUGGGGGAUAUUGCACAAUGGGCGCAAGCCUGAUGCAGCGACGCCGCGUGAAGGAAGACGUAUUUCGGUAUGUAAACUUCUAUCAGCGGGGAAGAAGAUGACGGUACCCGACUAAGAAGCCCCGGCUAAUUACGUGCCAGCCGCCGC
rnacentral:rRNA from 1 species